AUUGAACACUGGCGGCAGGCUUAACACAUGCAAGUCGAGCGGAGAUGAGGUGCUUGCACCUUAUCUUAGCGGCGGACGGGUGAGUAAUGCUUAGGAAUCUGCCUAUUAGUGGGGGACAACAUUCCGAAAGGAAUGCUAAUACCGCAUACGCCCUACGGGGGAAAGCAGGGGAUCUUCGGACCUUGCGCUAAUAGAUGAGCCUAAGUCGGACUAGCUAGUUGGUGGGGUAAAGGCCUACCAAGGCGACGAUCUGUAGCGGGUCUGAGAGGAUGAUCCGCCACACUGGGACUGAGACACGGCCCAGACUCCUACGGGAGGCAGCAGUGGGGAAUAUUGGACAAUGGGCGGAAGCCUGAUCCAGCCAUGCCGCGUGUGUGAAGAAGGCCUUUUGGUUGUAAAGCACUUUAAGCGAGGAGGAGGCUACCUGGAUUAAUACUCUAGGAUAGUGGACGUUACUCGCAGAAUAAGCACCGGCUAACUCUGUGCCAGCAGCCGCAGUAAGAC
rnacentral:rRNA from 1 species